GUUGAACGCUGGCGGCAGGCUUAACACAUGCAAGUCGAGCGGUAGAGGGGAGCUUGCUUCCCUUGAGAGCGGCGGACGGGUGAGUAAUGCCUAGGAAUCUGCCUGGUAGUGGGGGACAACGUUCGGAAACGGACGGUAAUACCGCAUACGUCCUACGGGAGAAAGUGGGGGAUCUUCGGACCUCACGCUAUCAGAUGAGCCUAGGUCGGAUUAGCUAGUUGGUAGGGUAAAGGCCUACCAAGGCGACGAUCCGUAACUGGUCUGAGAGGAUGAUCAGUCACACUGGAACUGAGACACGGUCCAGACUCCUACGGGAGGCAGCAGUGGGGAAUAUUGGACAAUGGGCGCAAGCCUGAUCCAGCCAUGCCGCGUGUGUGAAGAAGGUCUUCGGAUUGUAAAGCACUUUAAGUUGGGAGGAAGUUCAGUAAGUUAAUACCUUGUUGAAUUGACGUUACCGACAGAAUAAGCACCGGCUAACUCUGUGCCAGCCGCCGCAGUAAAAC
rnacentral:rRNA from 1 species